rnacentral:tRNA from 1 species
GGAGGCGUAGCUCAGCUGGUUAGAGCGUUCGCGUCACAUGCGAAAGGCCGCGGGUUCGAAUCCCUCUGCCUCCA